AUUUCGCAAAAAAGUAGAAUCGACAUUCCAUCGGAAAACACUCUGGUUGUGAGUGAUCAAUCAAAACAAUACCGUCAUUGCUUUGUUAUUAUUUACUACUAUGGACUCAUAAAAAGUGCAGUGUUGCUGUUAUCAAAUUGGCAACGAUGUACGAGUCUCGUGCGAAGCAUGCAAGUCAGUGAUGGCUGGCAGUUCACACCGUACGUCGUGCGUCACUCACCGCUUGCAAACUCUCAUAAAAGGAACUGUCAUUCACAAUCAGAGCAUAGUUCCAAUCGAGCCUUGUGACAGUGAACAGCUCUUCUACGCUUCAACGCUAUUCAACGACAUUAGCUUCCCGCUCUUCUCUUCAACUCCAUAAAUUUCAAAGAUCAGACAUGACCAUCUUCGGAACGACUUCGAGGUUCGUGAGCGGCCGCAGCGCCGUGCAGACGGUGUACUGGCGGGCGGUGAACGGAGCUAAGAAUGGCGAGGCGCAGUCCAAAUUGGUCAAGACAAAUCGCACCCUAAACUUCCCCGUUCCCUCCAAUGUUGCCGCUAACGAGUUGCCUGCUUCCCGUACAAGUUCUCAGCCAAUCAAGUCUUUCCAUUGAACAUCGCGAAUAAGAUAUUUCCAUCUACACAUAUCAUGAUUGGCGUCCAAGGACCCAAGAGCAACUCUUUGUUUUCUUCAUAUUGGAGAUGGAUAUCCGUUUCUGUCUUUCAUAAAGAUAUCUUAUCUGAAUAAUUUAUUCAUUACUUCUCGUUUGAGUGUUAAUUUCAAUGUGUAGCAUCCAUUGUUUAAACCAUUCCAAUUUCAACUCCACUUUUUGCUUAUUAAUCAUUCUAAUUGGGAUUUCAUCUGUGAACAAAAUCAUUAAUUAUUUUCUCCAUUUCUUCAAGCUUAUGUGUCAGCUAUCGAAAACAUCACAAUAAAUCAUAUUCAUGAUGUUAUUUUUAUAAUUAUAAUUCUAAGUUAAUAUCAAGGGAAUAAAACCAAUAUUUCGUAAAAUAA